rnacentral:rRNA from 1 species
GAUGAACGCUAGCGGCAGGCCUAACACAUGCAAGUCGAGGGGUAGAACACUUCGGUGUUUGAGACCGGCGCACGGGUGCGUAACGCGUAUGCAAUCUACCUUAUACAGGGGAAUAGCCCAGAGAAAUUUGGAUUAAUGCCCCAUAGCAUUACGACUUGGCAUCAAGAUGUAAUUAAAGUUCCAACGGUAUAAGAUGAGCAUGCGUCCCAUUAGUUAGUUGGUAAGGUAACGGCUUACCAAGACGAUGAUGGGUAGGGGUCCUGAGAGGGAGAUCCCCCACACUGGUACUGAGACACGGACCAGACUCCUACGGGAGGCAGCAGUGAGGAAUAUUGGUCAAUGGUCGCAAGACUGACCCAGCCAUGCCGCGUGCAGGAAGACGGUCCUAUGGAUUGUAAACUGCUUUUAUACAGGAAGAAACCCUCCCACGUGUGGGAGCUUGACGGUACUGUAGGAAUAAGGGUCGGCUAACUCCGUGCCAGCAGCCGCGGUAA